CAGCAGCCGCGGUAAUACGAAGGUGGCGAGCGUUGUUCGGAAUCACUGGGCUUAAAGAGCACGUAGGCGGACUGCCAAGCGUCUUGUGAAAUCCCCCGGCUCAACCGGGGAAUUGCUGGGCGAACUGGUAGUCUUGAGGCAAGUAGGGGCAGAUGGAACUCUUGGUGGAGCGGUGGAAUGCGUAGAUAUCAAGAGGAACGCCAGAGGCGAAGCCGAUCUGCUGGGCUUGACCUGACGCUGAGGUGCGAAAGCCAGGGGAGCAAACGGGAUUAGAUACCCCGGUAGUCCUGGCCAUAAACGAUGUCCACUAGAUCGGUGAACUUCUGACAGUGUGCCGGUCGAAACAAAAGCGUUAAGUGGACCGCCUGGGGAGUACGGUCGCAAGGCUAAAACUCAAAGGAAUUGACGGGGGCUCACACAAGCGGUGGAGCAUGUUGCUUAAUUCGAUGCAACGCGAAGAACCUUAUCCUGGGCUUGACAUGCUUGGAUGCCCAUCUGGAAACAGAGUAGGCUGCCCUUCGGGGUGAAACUUGCACAGGUGCUGCAUGGCUGUCGUCAGCUCGUGUCGUGAGAUGUUGGGUUAAGUCCCGUAACGAGCGAAACCCUUGUCGUUAGUUGCCAGCGCGUAAUGGCGGGGACUCUAGCGAGACUGCCGGUGUUAAACCGGAGGAAGGUGGGGAUGACGUCAAGUCCUCAUGGCCUUUAUGCCCAGGGCUGCAAACGUGCUACAAUGGCGAGGACAAACCGACGCAAAGCCGCGAGGUCGAGCAAAUCGGAGAAACCUUGCCCCAGUUCGGAUUGGAGUCUGCAACUCGACUCCAUGAAGUCGGAAUCGCU
rnacentral:rRNA from 1 species